AUCAGCUGGUGCAGGGUACGGUGGCCCAGCAGUCCAAAUCACAGAUCGUGACCAAGGAAGUAUGCGGGUUGGAAAAUGAGCAGACCCUUGGAGGUCUUGAUGUGUUAGCCAAUAUGGUUUCAACUGAUCUCCUGCUCCUGAGUAUCUGGGACUACAGGUGUGGACCACCAUGCUCAUUCUCUACGACUUCCAGUAUGAUGUUGACUAGGAAUGAUGAGAACAGACAUGUUUGCCUUUUUCUGGAUUUUGGUGAAGAAGCUUCCAGUUUCUUACAACUGAAGAUUCGCUGGCUGCUUCGCAAGCGCAAGGACUGGAGUUCAAUCCCCAGUACCAAAGAAAAAAAACCAAAAAAUCAAAAGAAAAUGGGAAAAAAGCUGAAGCCAUAUUACUGACAAUCAAAUGCUCUUUGUUGGAAGUGUUAGGAGAUGGACAAUGUCUUCAUGUAAAAGUUACUGGGUACUGAUGUCUUCUGAAAGCAAGUUGUACCUUGGGAUGUGUUACCACAUAGACUAAGGGUUGCAUCCAUGCGCAUGUAUGUGGUGCUGGGGAUGGAACCCAGUGCCUUGCACAUGCCAGGCAAGUGCUCUACCACUGAGCUACACCUCAGCCCCCGUGUUGGCAACAAGUAAUUGUUGGAAAAAUCCAUGUGUCAAGGAACUGAAGGGUAUUAUCAAGCAGGAAACUGAGGCUUUCAGCCCAACAGUCUUUGAGGAAUCAAAAUCUGCCAGUUAUGAGAUGACCUUGGAAGUGGACCCUGCCUUUGUCAAGCCUUUUGAUGAGGCCCCGGCCCUAGAUGACAUCUUGAUUGCAGCCUUGUGAGAGACCAUGAAGAAGAGCACCCAGCCAAACUAUGCUUAGAUUUCUGACUAUGACCAUAAAAAAUUAUGGUUGUCAGCCACCAAAUUUGUGGUCAUUUGUUACUCAGUAAUAGGUAACUAAUACAGUAACCAUCUUAUAUAUAAGUUCCUCUAAUCAUCUUUUCUCUUCUAUAUUUCCCAUAACUGCAUUUUCCCUCCCUUGAGCCAACCCUGAAUUGCCUCACUGUCUCCAAAACCUUUCCAUUACACUCUCUGGAAACGUCACUGUAUAGUUAAGAAGCUCCCCUAUAGGUUAUAAAAUAUUUGAGUGAACAGAGAGACAUACCUGGUUUCUCGAUGGCCAGCCUCAAUAUUUAUAAAAAAUGUUAAUACUCUACAAAUUAAUUUAUACAUUUAAUGCAACUCAAUUUUAGAUGACAUUACAUUUCUAAUUAAUUGUAUCCCUUUAAAAGAAUAAGCAUCCAGAAAUAACCAGUAGAAUUCUAAAAAUGAGUAAUGACUAACAACCAGUAUUACUACUUAUUAAAAGACAUUAUGAGGCUAUAUUAACUAAAACACAGUGGUACUGGCUCAAAACUGACAACUAGAUUGAUGGAAUACAGUAGAAUGUUCAGAAAAAAUUAGAUCCAUGGAAAAUUUAGUAUAUUGCAAAUGACAUUUUAAUUUAUUCAUGGAAAGAUGGAUUGUGCAAUAAAUGG
ensembl:lncRNA